UACGGAGGGUGCGAGCGUUGUCCGGAAUCACUGGGCGUAAAGGGCGCGUAGGCGGCCUCUUAAGGGUGCGGUGAAAGUCCGGGGCUCAACCCCGGAUCGGCCGUGCCGACUGAGAGGCUGGAGCACUGUAGAGGCGAGUGGAAUUCCGGGUGUGAGCGGUGGAAUGCGUAGAGAUCCGGAAGAACACCGGUGGCGAAGGCGGCUCGCUGGGCAGUGGCUGACGCUGAGG
rnacentral:rRNA from 1 species